rnacentral:lncRNA from 1 species
ACCGAGGCUCCGCCUGCAGGGCCCGCGGAGAGCUCACAGGUGAGUGGCGCUGGGCGGCCCUGUGCCCGCUUCCCUCCCUGGGGCGCGAACUCUCGGCUGGUUGCUUUCUCCACGGCCGCUCCUGGGACAGAGUAGCUCCGGGCAAGCUGGCAGCUGUCUGACUGGACCUGAUGCCACUGGGCCUGGUAGGAAGACAGAAUAUCUGUUUUGGACCUUAACAGGACUUUGCGGAAUCAGAAAAGAACCUGCUGUUGUACCUGGAAAAACAAAAGGAAGCUCUUUAUGUACACACAUGAUAAGAACGCAGAGAAAUAUUAAUGAGUAAAAACUGACAGUGACAAAAAAAAUCUAACAUCACUUAUAAAAACUAACUUGAAAUAGAUCAUAGUCCUGGAUGUAAGAGCUAAAACGAUAAAACUUAUAAAAGAAAAUAGAGAAGAAAAUCUUGGUAGCCUUGAAAUUUCUUAGAUUCAACAGCAAAAGCAAGAUACACACUCACACACCAAAAGAAAACCUUAAUAAAUUGGUCUCCAUUGAAACUAAGAACUAGGCCAGGCAUGAUGGCUCAUGCCUGUAAUCUCAGCUCUUUGGGAGGCUGAGGUGGGAGGAGUUCACGGCCAGCCUGAGCAACACAGUCAGACUCUAUCUUUAAAAAAAGUUUAAAAAUAAAAAUAUAUGCCAGGCAUGGUGGCAUGGACCUCUCAUCCGAGUUACUCAGGAGGCUGAGGUGAGAGGAUCAUGUGAGCCCGGGAGUUCAAGGCUGCAGUGAGCUAUGAAUGUGCCACUGCACUCCAGCCUGGGUGACAGAGUGAGACCCUACCUCAAAAAAAAAAAAAA